rnacentral:rRNA from 1 species
UGGCUCAGGAUGAACGCUAGCGACAGGCUAACACAUGCAAGUCGAGGGGCAGCAUAAAAGUAGCAAUACUUGGUGGCGACCGGCGCACGGGUGAGUAACGCGUAUGCAACCUACCUAUCAGGAGGGGAAUAACCGGCGAAAGUCGGACUAAUACCGCAUAAAACAGGGGCACCGCAUGGUGAUAUUUGUUAAAGAAAUUCGCUGAUAGAUGGGCAUGCGUUCCAUUAGGUAGUUGGUGAGGUAACGGCUCACCAAGCCGACGAUGGAUAGGGGAACUGAGAGGUUGGUCCCCCACACUGGUACUGAGACACGGACCAGACUCCUACGGGAGGCAGCAGUGAGGAAUAUUGGUCAAUGGGCGGGAGCCUGAACCAGCCAAGUCGCGUGAAGGAAGAAGGAUCUAUGGUUCGUAAACUUCUUUUGCAGGGGAAUAAAGUGCAGGACGUGUCCUGUUUUGUAUGUACCCUGAGAAUAAGGAUCGGCUAACUCCGUGCCAGCCGCCGC